AGCUGCAAAAUGGUAACUAGAAAGGAGGAAAAAAUACCUCUUCCUCCCUCCUGGCCAGCCCUUCCACAGCUCCCGGCAGGGCAGCCAGCGCGAGCCCAUCCCCCACGCCUCCCAGCCCAGACGCGCGGCGGGCACAGAUUAAAGCCAGUGAAUAAAACUAAAGGUCACUUUAAAGGAGUAUAAAGCUACAGUGGACAUAACGUGGCAUAGGUGAUCUUGACACCACAGAACUGUGAAGCCUGCAAUCCUACAAUAUAGAGGGGUAUGAGGAAGACAUCUCAGGAUACUGAAGAGUGUUGCAGAGGACCCACAAAUAGUCCUGAGCAUGAGAUGGUGGACAACAAACCCAUUUUUGGUGUGUUGCAGCAAGAGCGCUGGCCUGCCAUGAUCUGCUACAUUCUACCUGGAAAUACAAGUCAGAAGUCAGCCUGUCAUAUUUUUUCAAAAGGUGACUUGUCAAAAUGAGACUUCUUUCAUAAAAUCAGUCUGGUUGGGCAUGGUGGCUCACGCCUGUAAUCCUAGCACUUUGGGAGGCUGAAGUAGGUGGAUGGCUUGAGCCCAGGAGUUUGAGACCAGCCUGGGCAACAUGGCAAAAUCCCAUCUCUACAAAAAAUACAAAAAUUAGCCGGGCAUAGUGUCACACACCUGUGGUCCCAGCUACUCAGGAGACUGAGAUGGGAGGAUCACCUGAGCCCGGGAGGUUAAGGCUGCAGUGAGCCAGGAUUGGGCCACUGCACUACAGCAUGGGUGACAGAGUGAAAUGCUGUCUCAAAAAACAACAACAAAAAAUCUCUCAAUCUGUCCAAAUAGUUAGAUUGUCUUCAGUAAUCUUUCCAUCGCGAUCUUGCUUUGUUUCUACUACUACUCUGAUGCUACAUAAUUAAGGUCACCAAUCGUUGUCACUGUCUUUCCAAACCUGUUGUUCCUUACUUCCUCCGGCCAUUCUUCCUUGUCCCCCUCCCAUUCAUCAUCCAGACACACACACACACACACACACACACACACACACACACACACACAUACAUUUUAACAAUACCAAACUCCUUGUAGUUCCCCUAAAUGAAUCAUGUUGUUUCCCUUACCUGAAAUGCCCAAUCCCUUUUUUAUUUUCAUUGCUAACUCCUCUCAUCUUUCCAGAGUGUUCACGUCUACCAGGAGUGUUCUUGUCCCUCCCAUUCCUUUCUACUCUAGCUCCACUCACAGUUCUGUGUAAUCCCAUCUUGUGGACUAACCCGUGUUAAAAAGAUUUGUUUGCUGAUUUGAUUCUUCCCUCCACUACACCCCCCCAUAACACAAAAUGAGUCCCUUAAAAGCAGAAAUGUUGCCUCACUGGUCUCCAGCACCCAGUGGAGUAUUUGGUAUGAAUGUCGGUCGAACUGUACUCUCUCCAGUGUGCAUUUUGUUCCAGGAAGACUAGGUAAUAGCAGGAGCAUUAGAAGCCUCAUCUUCAGGGCUGUUUGACAUUGAUUUUUUAAAAAAUACAUUUCCUGAGGUCUCACUAGUGCCAGAAUAUGAAAAAAAUAAUCAUUCUUCUCUGACUAAAGUGGAAUCACCAGUGAUUUAUUCUCUCCUUAAUCAGUAAUACUAGCUAACAUUUAUAUAGCCCUCACUAGGUCCCAAGCACUUUGAACAUAUCAUCUUAUUUCAUGUCUAUAACCACCUUCAGGUAGGCACUGUUGUUACCCUCCAAUUUACAAAGGAGGAAACUGAAGUGCAGGGAGGUUAAGUAAGUGGCAAGCUAGAAUCUGGAUACAGGUUGUCUGGUUCCAGGGACCAGGCAGUUAGCCAUUAUGCUAUGCGGCAUGAUUUCUUGCUUUCCUUGCCCUUUUUUCUUAAAUGUUUAAUUACAUAAGUAGCAUAUCAAUACAUUUAAAUUGUCAAAAAUUCAGAAACAAAGCAAAAACUCACUACUAUUUGAUGGGUAUCUUUCAAGAUCUUUUUCUUUGUUUACAUACAUAUAUACAUUAUGUGUGUGUACAUAUACACAAAGAAAUAUGUAUUUUUAUGUAACUGGAUUAUGCCUUAUUUUUCUAUAGAUUUGUUUUCAUUUAACAAUUUGUCUUAAAGGUCUUUUCAUAUCGAUGCAUAUUGAUCUAUUUUAUUCUUUGAAUGUUGCAUAGUAUGGAUAUAUUCCAUAGAAUGGGUGUAAUAUAGUUUAGGUAACCAUUUUUCUUUUGCGAGUCAUUUAUGUUGUUUCUGAUUUCACUGUUACAAACCAGGCUGCACUGAGUAUCCUUGAACAUGUC
rnacentral:lncRNA from 1 species